AAAAAUAUCGACGUUUUAGGUGCCCUUUGGGGAGAAUAGGGAAGUUCGGUUUCAAACCGACGCGGACCCACCACUGUAUUCGAUGAGCUUUGAAGCCACUGGCACUAUGCUGGGAAGGUGACAAAUUAAGCAAUGAUUCGAGAGCCAGGAGACCUGCCUAAAAUGUUAAAGUCUU
rnacentral:ncRNA from 2 species